rnacentral:rRNA from 1 species
GACGAACCGUGCGAACGUUGUUCGGAAUCACUGGGCUUAAAGGGCGUGCAGGCGGUUUGUUAAGUGCAGGGUGAAAGCUCCCGGCUCAACUGGGAGAGGUCCUUGCAUACUGGCGAACUCGAGGGAGGCAGAGGAAAGUGGAAUUCCUGGUGUAGCGGUGAAAUGCGCAGAUAUCAGGAGGAACACCAAUGGCGAAGGCAGCUCGCUGGAACGGAACUGACGCUGAGGCGCGAAAGCGUGGGGAGCGAACAGG